rnacentral:lncRNA from 1 species
UAAAAGUUAAUUUGGUAAUUGCAUAAUUAAAUAUUAAAUCAAAAUAACGAAAAGAUGGUAUCAUCUUCUCAUCUGAGAUACACCACAGAAAAUAAGGAAGAAAAAUACUCCAUUAUUGUGUUUUUGAAAGUUCGGCCAUAGUCUCUUUGCAUGUAAGUGCAUUUUUACUCAAUUUUUACUGAUUUCUAUGUAUUUGGAGUCGUUGUAGCUUAAUCUAGCUAGCACUGGGACUAAUUUGCAAAACUGUUAAAAGACUAGGGUUUUACCAUUAUGAAUGUGUAUGUGUUUUGAUG